AACCUACGGGAGGCAGCAGUCGGGAAUAUUGCACAAUGGGGGGAACCCUGAUGCAGCGAUGCCGCGUGAAGGAAGAAGAUUUUCGGAUCGUAAACUUCUAUCAGCAAGGAAGAAAAAGGACAGUACUUGACUAAGCAGCCCCGGCUAACUACGUGCCAGCAGCCGCGGUAAUACGUAGGGGGCAAGCGUUAUCCGGAUUUACUGGGUGCAAAGGGAGCGUAGACGGCAGUGCAAGUCUGAAGUGAAAGGCAAGGGCUCAACCCUUGGACUGCUUUGGAAACUGUGCUGCUGGAGUGACGGAGAGG
rnacentral:rRNA from 1 species